AACGCACAUUGCGCCCCUUGGUAUUCCGAGGGGCAUGCCUGUUCGAGCGUCAUUACAACCCUCAAGCCUGGCUUGGUAUUGGGCUCCGCCACUCACCUGGCGGGCCUUAAAAUCAGUGGCGGUGCCGUCGAGGCCCUGAGCGCAGUAAAUAUCCUCGCUAUAGGGACCCGGCGGACGCUGGCCAUCAACCCCCAACUUUCCAAGUUUGACCUCGGAUCAGGUAGGGAUACCCGCUGAACUUAA
rnacentral:misc_RNA from 2 species